CGGAGGAUCCAAGCGUUAUCCGGAUUUAUUGGGUUUUAAAGGGUGCGUAGGCGGCCUGUUAAGUCAGGGGUGAAAGACGGUAGCUCAACUAUCGCAGUGCCCUUGAUACUGAUGGGCUUGAAUGGACUAGAGGUAGGCGGAAUGUGACAAGUAGCGGUGAAAUGCAUAGAUAUGUCACAGAACACCGAUUGCGAAGGCAGCUUACUAUGGUCCUAUUGACGCUGAGGCACGAAAGCGUGGGGAUCAAACAGGAUU
rnacentral:rRNA from 1 species